GGAAGUAAAAGUUGUAACAAGGUCUCCGUAGGUGAACCUGCGGAGGGAUCAUUACAAGUGACCCCGGUCUUACCACCGGGAUGUUCAUAACCCUUUGUUGUCCGACUCUGUUGCCUCCGGGGCGACCCUGCCUUCGGGCGGGGGCUCCGGGUGGACACUUCAAACUCUUGCGUAACUUUGCAGUCUGAGUAAACUUAAUUAAUAAAUUAAAACUUUUAACAACGGAUCUCUUGGUUCUG
rnacentral:misc_RNA from 1 species